GACAGAGGGUGCAAACGUUGUUCGGAAUUACUGGGCGUAAAGCGCGUGUAGGUGGCGAGGCAAGUCGGGUGUGAAAGCCCUGGGCUCAACCCAGGAAGUGCACUCGAUACUGCCUAGCUAGAGUCCCGGAGAGGUUGGUGGAACUCUCGGUGUAGAGGUGAAAUUCGUAGAUAUCGAGAAGAACACCGGUGGCGAAGGCGGCUCACUGGCCCGGUACUGACGCUGAGGUGCGAAAGCGUGGGGAGCAAACAGG
rnacentral:rRNA from 1 species